CUCUUCUGUCUCUCUCUCACACACACACACCGCCCUGACUCCUCACUGAAAAGCACUCAGCAUCUUUCCUAACAAGCAUCCACAUCGCCGAGGCCACGCCCACUCCUCGCAGCAGCGGUCCCAGAAAUUGGCAGCACUGGAGGUGUGGGUGGGGGAAGGGACCAGGCGGUGGAGCCUUCUGAUUUUCUGGAGAUCCUGCAUUUGGCAGAGCCAGGCAACAUACUGAGCUAUUCCUGAUUAUCCGGGAGUGCAUCCAGUUCCUUUAGGUACAAAGAUAGAUUGUAAUGUGAGACCUGUCUCGCUUCUUGAUGAAGAUGUUUAGCAUGAUAAACUUCCUGCUUAACACCGAGUUAGCUGCAUCCCAGAGAUUUUGCUCAGCAUCUUUACCUGUCAAACUCAGGAAUUACUAUCUGAAUGAAUGAGAUCAACAAAGCAAACUACAUUGUGCCACCAAGCUGUCCUGGAAGAAUGCGAUAUCCAGGUAAUCAGCCAUGUUUAUCAACCUAUGAUUCUGACAUCUUCUCAGAAUAUACUUCCCCCAAAAUUUUAAGGAGAAAACAUGCUACAUUUUUUUGCAAGUAAAAUUUCCUUUGCUACGUCUUACAUUUAUAAUUUCAGUCUUUUGCUGUUAUUUUAGAAUGAAACUUAUUACAAAAAAGGUUAAAAGAUGUCAUGAAGAAUUUCUCGGCCAGGCACGGUGGCUCAAGCCUGUAAUCCCAGCACUUUGGGAGGCCAAAGCGGGUGGAUCACGAGGUCAAGAGAUCGAGACCAUCCUGGUCAACAUGGUGAAACCCCGUCUCUACUAAAAAUACAAAAAAAUUAGCUGGGCACGGUGGCGCGUGACUGUAAUCCCAGCUACUCAGGAGGCUGAGGCAGGAGAAUUGCCUGAACCCAGGAGGCGGAGGUUGCGGUGAGCUGAGAUGGCGCCAUUGCACUCCAGCCUGGGUAACAAGAGCGAAACUCCGUCUCAAAAAAAAAAAAGAAUUUCUCUAUACAGAAAGAUAGCUAUGUGUGUAAGUGUGUAUAUCUGUUGAGUCAAAAGAUACAACCAUUGUAAGCCUUUAUCAUAUGGGACCUAACGACCUUGCAGAAUGAUCAUAUCAAUUACACGUCCAUCAGCUUUGGAUGGAGCUGCACAUUUCCAUUUUCUCAAAAUUCAUCCCAAGAAAUCAUAUGGUUGGAAAAUAUGAAGGUAAAAAUUUGGAAAAUUAUCUUUUUUAUCAUGGCAAUUCUUCAGAUAUAAGGUAUUUUUAUGUUUUGUGGACACUGGUUUAUAAAACAUCUUGUUUAAACAGAAUUAUUUUACAUAUUUUUAUUUGCUGUGUUAGAAAUGUCAGUCCUUUGCUUGGCUUCUUGGUCUUCGAUUUUAUCAAUCUUGAAAAUAUCAAUUUGUUAUAAAAAAAUGAACUUCAUUGAAUUGUUUCGUGAGAAUUUGGGUUUCUCACAAAUUUGUGAGAAUUUGUAUCACAUGGGUAAUAUUUCAUAAAAUGCAUAUAUGCUAUUUACAAUGAAUACUUCAAAAGAUAAAUCAUAUCCUUUUUUUUGUCAUUUCUCAAGUUGAGAUGCCAAAUUUCAUUUGUGCAAGAUAUUUUACACCCAACUCAUUAAAUAUUUGGGGGUUAAUAUUUAAACUUAAUAUAUUUUAAUGAGAUAACAAACUUUACAACAAUGAAAAUAUACAGUAUAUUUUUGUGCUUUGCAAAUUAGGCUAAAAUCCAAACUUAACUUUUAGGAUUACAUAAAGCAUUUUGUAUAUAUUCUUUUGUUAAAGUAAAUAGGAGUUUCUUAUUAUUUUAAAAUAAUGUUAUGUGAUUUAACCACAAUGCUGUUGCAUGUAUGCUGAAGUUACAAUUUGAAUCUUGUAAUUUUUUUCCCAACAGUGCAUUUUCUAAUUGCAUACAAAGUUUA